rnacentral:rRNA from 1 species
UGGGGUUUCGCGUGGUUUUCACUCAUCUCCCCUGUGACAUACCUAUAACGUUGCCUCGGCGGGAACAGACGGCCCCGUAACACGGGCCGCCCCCGCCAGAGGACCCCCUAACUCUGUUUCUAUAAUGUUUCUUCUGAGUAAACAAGCAAAUAAAUUAAAACUUUCAACAACGGAUCUCUUGGCUCUGGCAUCGAUGAAGAACGCAGCGAAAUGCGAUAAGUAAUGUGAAUUGCAGAAUUCAGUGAAUCAUCGAAUCUUUGAACGCACAUUGCGCCCGCCAGUAUUCUGGCGGGCAUGCCUGUUCGAGCGUCAUUACAACCCUCAGGCCCCCGGGCCUGGCGUUGGGGAUCGGCGGAAGCCCCCUGCGGGCACAACGCCGUCCCCCAAAUACAGUGGCGGUCCCGCCGCAGCUUCCAUUGCGUAGUAGCUAACACCUCGCAACUGGAGAGCGGCGCGGCCACGCCGUAAAACACCCAACUUCUGAAUGUUGACCUCGAAUCAGGUAGGAAUACCCGCUGAACUUAAGCAUAUCAAAUAAGCGGAGGAA